rnacentral:tRNA from 1 species
GGGUACAUGGUGUAAUGGUUAGCACUCUGGACUUUGAAUCCAGCAAUAUAUUAUUUAUACAUGAAAAUAAACAGACUGAGAAGUUCUAAAAAUGGUUGUAUCUA